UGGAGGAGGCGGGCGUUCGCCGGGUCACCACCCGGAGGAAGGUCCGGACUCCUGACAGGCAGCAUGCCGGGUAAUCCCCGGCCGCGGCAACGCGAGGGAAAGUGCCGCAGAAAGCAAACCGCCCCCGGAUCGGCCGGGGGUCAGGGUGAAAGGGUGCGGUAAGAGCGCACCGCUUCUCCGGAAACGGAGGAGGCAUGGUAAACCCCAUGCGGAGCAAGGCCAAAUAGGGGGGUCGAGGGUCGCCUGUCCCCGCAUCCCGUUUCGGCGGGUGAGAUUCCCGGGUUGGCUGCUCGAGCCGUACGGUAACGUGCGGCCCAGAUGAAUGGACGCCGCCCCACGGGGCACAGAAUCCGGCCUAUAGCCUCCUCCAGUCA
rnacentral:RNase_P_RNA from 1 species